UUUCUACUCCCUCCGUCCGAAAAUACUUGUCAUCAAAAUGGAUAAAAAUAGAUGUAUCUAAAACUAAAAUACGUCUAGAUAUAUUUCCUUUUAUCCAUUUUGAUGACAAGUAUUUCCGGACGGAGGGAGUAUUUG
rnacentral:pre_miRNA from 1 species